AAGAAAGAAAGAAAGAAAGAAAGAAAGAAAGAAAGAAAGAAAGAAAGAAAGAAAGAAAGAAAGAAAGAAAGAAAGAAAGAAAGAAAGAAAGAAAGAAAGAAAGAAAGAAAGAAAGAAAGAAAGAAAGAAAGAAAGAUAGAUAGAUAGAUAGAUAGAUAGAUAGAUAGAUAGAUAGAUAGAUAGAUAGAUAGAUAGAUAGAUAGAUAGAUAGAUAGAUAGAUAGAUAGAUAGAUAGAUAGGUGGCGAGAUAGGUAGGUAGUUCGAUUGAUAGGAAGCUAGCUAAAUAGGUAGAUAGAUAGAUAGAUAGAUAGAUAGAUAGAUAGAUAGAUAGAUAGAUAGAUAGAUAGAUAGAUAGAUAGAUAGAUAGAUAGAUAGAUAGAUAGAUAGAUAGAUAGAUAGAUAGAUAAUGCAUAAAUAACAAUGUAUAAUGCACUGUAUAUAAAUCUAUGGUUUGUAUUGUAACAGAUUGUAGAUAAUUUGCUUGAAUAAAUAAUAAAGUUGUCCUCCGAAGAGGGGGGGUGGUGGCGGGCCAAGAAUUAGGUAGAUAGAUACAUAGAUAUGUAGCUAGCUAGGCAGAUAGAUAGAUAGAUAGAUAGAUAGAUAGAUAGAUAGAUAGAUAGAUAGAUAGAUAGAUAGAUAGAUAGAUAGAUAGAUAGAUAGAUAGAUAGAUAGAUAGAUAGAUAGAUAGAUAGAUAGAUAAUGCAUAAAUAACACUGUAUAAUGCACUGUAUAUAAAUCUAUGGUUUGUAUUGUAA